CAGGGUCAUUAUCAAUUUAGCAUGCUCAGAAAAUAUUUCGUGGGUGUUAGAGCUUUUAGCUAUGUACUACCCCUUCGGGUUGCUUAUGGAUUGGCUGGAUAGUUUUUUCUCCUCUCUCCUACUGAAGGCUGUAGCUAGUUGACCUAUUUGGGCCUCUAGCUUAGCUAUCGAUGUAUAGGAGUAAAAGGUCUACGUGUUGACUUCUUAUCAUUCUAGUACUUUCAAGAUCUUUUUCUCAAAAGCUGAGUUAUGUGCAAUGGUGGAAGGUUGAGGAGUAUUUUGGUACC
rnacentral:lncRNA from 1 species